rnacentral:rRNA from 1 species
AUUGAACGCUGGCGGCAGGCCUAACACAUGCAAGUCGAACGGUAACAGGAAGAAGCUUGCUUCUUUGCUGACGAGUGGCGGACGGGUGAGUAAUGUCUGGGAAACUGCCUGAUGGAGGGGGAUAACUACUGGAAACGGUAGCUAAUACCGCAUAAUGUCGCAAGACCAAAGAGGGGGACCUUCGGGCCUCUUGCCAUCGGAUGUGCCCAGAUGGGAUUAGCUAGUAGGUGGGGUAACGGCUCACCUAGGCGACGAUCCCUAGCUGGUCUGAGAGGAUGACCAGCCACACUGGAACUGAGACACGGUCCAGACUCCUACGGGAGGCAGCAGUGGGGAAUAUUGCACAAUGGGCGCAAGCCUGAUGCAGCUAUGCCGCGUGUAUGAAGAAGGCCUUCGGGUUGUAAAGUACUUUCAGCGGGGAGGAAGGGGGUAAAGUUAAUACCUUUGCUCAUUGACGUUACCCGCAGAAGAAGCACCGGCUAACUCCGUG